rnacentral:rRNA from 1 species
AGUGAACGCUGGCGGUAGGCCUAACACAUGCAAGUCGAACGGCAGCACAGUAAGAGCUUGCUCUUACGGGUGGCGAGUGGCGGACGGGUGAGGAAUACAUCGGAAUCUACUUUUUCGUGGGGGAUAACGUAGGGAAACUUACGCUAAUACCGCAUACGACCUACGGGUGAAAGCAGGGGAUCUUCGGACCUUGCGCGAUUGAAUGAGCCGAUGUCGGAUUAGCUAGUUGGCGGGGUAAAGGCCCACCAAGGCGACGAUCCGUAGCUGGUCUGAGAGGAUGAUCAGCCACACUGGAACUGAGAGACGGGCCAGACUCCUACGGGAGGCAGCAGUGGGGAAUAUUGGACAAUGGGGGCAAGCCUGAUCCAGCCAUACCGCGUGGGUGAAGAAGGCCUUCGGGUUGUAAAGCCCUUUUGUUGGGAAAGAAAAGCAGCAGGUUAAUACCCCGCUGUUCUGACGGUACCAAAAGAAUAAGCACCGGCUAACUUCGUG